rnacentral:rRNA from 1 species
UAAAUGAACUUAAAUUCAACUUAAAAUAAUUUUUUAACAAACAAAGUAAUAAAUAAUAUUUUAAAGUUAAUUAAUAGAGGUUCAGCUCUAUUAAUAAAGGAUACAACCUAAAACAAUGAAUAAUGAUUAUACUAAUUAAAGAAAUUAACUAUGUGGGCCUAAAAGCAGCAAUCAAAAUAAAAGCGUUAAAGCUUAAUUUAAUAAAUCUCAUUAUAACAAUAAAAUAAUCUUAAUUCACCAAAACUAUUAAGUCAAUCUAUAUAAAUAGAUGUGAUUAUACUAGAAUGAGUAAUAAGAAAAUAUUCUCUUAGUGCAAGUGUAAAUCAAAACGAAUAUCUCACUGAUAAUUAACGAACCUUUUGAGGGAAAAAUAAUAUUUUUACAAGAAAAAUCUAUUUAACCCAUCGUUAACCCAACACAGGAGCACACUAGAAAGAUUAAAAAUAUAGGAAGGAACUCGGCAAACAUGAACUUCGCCUGUUUACCAAAAACAUCGCCUCUUGCAAUUUAGGUAUAAGAGGUCCUGCCUGCCCAGUGACACUAAGUUUAACGGCCGCGGUAUUAUGACCGUGCAAAGGUAGCGUAAUCACUUGUCUUUUAAAUAAAGACCAGUAUGAAUGGCAAGACGAAAGUUCAACUGUCUCCCUAAAUUAAUCAAUGAAAUUGAUCUUUCCGUGCAGAAGCGGAAAUAUAAAUAUAAGACGAGAAGACCCUAUGGAGCUUUAAACAUAUAAUCAAUUGUAAAACAUAAAAUCCGAAAGAUUAAAUAUAAAAUAAAACAAUCUGAUUAAAAUUUUAGGUUGGGGCGACCACGGAGAAAAACAAAACCUCCGAGAUGAAUAGAAUAUCUUAAUUCAAGAACUACAGUUCUAAAAAAUAAAAUAUUUAACAUAAUUGAUCCAAUAUAUUGAUCAACGAACCAAGUUACCCUAGGGAUAACAGCGCAAUCCUCUCCAAGAGUCCCUAUCGACGAGCGGGUUUACGACCUCGAUGUUGGAUCAGGACACCCCAAUGGUGUAGCCGCUAUUAAUGGUUCGUUUGUUCAACGAUUAAAGU